CUAAAAUAAACAUCACAAUGUAAUAUCCUCCAUUUUAGUAUUAUUAAUGUUUUACAUUUUGUAGCAUGUUAUAAAUUUGCUUGUUUUUAAUUUACAGUUGGACAUGAGCCUGAACAUUGGUCUGUCUAUAGAAGAUAUCUUGAAUUCUAUGUACUUGAAUCAAAACUAACAGAAUUUCACGGCACAUUUCCCGAUGCUCAGCUGCCAUCCAAAAGGAUCAUUGGCCCCAAGAACUACGAGUUUUUAAAGUCGAAGAGAGAGGAGUUUCAGGAGUAUCUACAGGUACAGUGCCAGCUCUCACGCUUCACUGAGACACUGAUAACUCCAGUUUGCUGCUCUUCCCUUAUGUGCAUGUGCUGGUUUUCUGUUUUUCUCAUUUAUUUCCUCCCUCUUUAGUAGCAUACAUUUAUUGUGCACAAUAAUGUUCUGUUACGACGUUUCCACGUGAGUGGACGAUGUAUCUUGAUCAUAUUCACGUCCUUCAUAUCUGUUUGUUUUUUUUUUCCCUUCCCCACCCCUGAUUGUUGUGCUCUUCCAAAGAGCCCUUUUCCAUUUCAUGUCUUUAAAAAAAAAACCUAG
rnacentral:lncRNA from 1 species